AAGGCAUCUCAACAGAUAGCUGGUAAGUAAACGUUUUCUAUAAACGAUCGCAACUAUCUCCGAAUGUAGGUCCUGAUUUAAAUAGAAGGUGGUCUGUAACAGAGGCUCAUUUUUUUUUCUCUGCCACACACUGCUGCGCAGUGAUACAUUCCCCCGUGCGGGCGGUAUAGAUACUUCUGCUGGAUAUAACUUGCACGAGAAAAGUUUUUUUUUGUUAUUCACUUGUGUGAAAUUUAACGUAACAUUUAUGGCGUGAUAAAAUAACAACACAUUAAAUAAAUGUAACCGUUAUGUUUUAACGGCAUAGUGAUAUCUGAAACGGUACGAUUUGCUGGUAUUAAUUCGCUGCGGUCCGGCGAAAAUUGAGAGGGAAGAAGAAAUGGCGGCUCAACCGAAAAGCGCGCGUGUUUCGGCCGCGCAGGCCACUAUGUUGGUUCAAUUCAUAGAGCAGCAUCCAUACUUGGCGAGAGGCGCCACAAGCCUCUCGCCAAGUAUGAGUGCUCCUCAGAAAAAAGCACUGUGGGAGGAGGUUGCCGCGGCGCUAAACGCGAUCGGACCGGCAGUCAAAGCAGUCCGGCGCUGGCGCCUCUAAUGGGCCCGGCUGUGCUAUGACUGCCGUAAGAUCGCGACGCAGGUGGGCGCCGAGAAGAGGUGAGCCCGCGGCUAGCAACAUCUUCGGAACGUAUAAGCUCACGGUGUUCAUGCAUUUGCAGGAAGACGGGAGGCCGGAAGCUGGGCGGCCUGGAGGGCCGCGUGCUCACCGUGCUUGGCCGAACCGGCCCAGCUUCCGCUCCUGUGGAGUUUUUCGGCGACGACUCCGAGCAGGACACCUCCAGUGAGGAGGAGCCUGCACCUCUGCCCCCUGCCCCACCAGCAGCUGCCCACGUUUCCGUCGGGACGGAGCCGGGGACAAGUGGCACUGCACGACCAUCAGCUCGGCAGCAGCCCCGCAGGCCACCCCGCCAACAGCUGCUGGAGGACGCGGCCUGCAGUGCAGCCGCCGAGUAUGCGUGGCAGGGGCAGCUAGCUGAGGCGGCAAAUGCAGAGGCCGCCAACUUCCACCAGCUGUUGCUGCAGCAAAAUAGGCAGCAUCACCAGCAGCUGGUGGAAGAGCAGAGGGCGACCCGGCAGGUCCUGCAGCAGCUGACAGCUGAGAUGCGUGGUUCGCG
rnacentral:lncRNA from 1 species